rnacentral:rRNA from 1 species
GACGAACGCUGGCGGCGCGCCUAACACAUGCAAGUCGAACGAGCGAGAGAGAGCUUGCUUUCUCAAGCGAGUGGCGAACGGGUGAGUAACGCGUGAGGAACCUGCCUCAAAGAGGGGGACAACAGUUGGAAACGACUGCUAAUACCGCAUAAGCCCACAGGUCGGCAUCGACCAGAGGGAAAAGGAGCAAUCCGCUUUGAGAUGGCCUCGCGUCCGAUUAGCUAGUUGGUGAGGUAACGGCCCACCAAGGCAACGAUCGGUAGCCGGACUGAGAGGUUGAACGGCCACAAUGGGACUGAGACACGGCCCAGACUCCUACGGGAGGGAGGAGUGGGGAAUAUUGCACAAUGGGGGAAACCCUGAUGCAGCGACGCCGCGUGGAGGAAGAAGGUCUUCGGAUUGUAAACUCCUGUUGUUGAGGAAGAUAAUGACGGUACUCAACAAGGAAGUGACGGCUAACUACGUG